GAUGAACGCUAGCGAUAGGCUUAACACAUGCAAGUCGAGGGGCAGCAUGGUCUUAGCUUGCUAAGACUGAUGGCGACCGGCGCACGGGUGCGUAACGCGUAUGCAACUUGCCUCACAGAGGGGGAUAACCCGUCGAAAGACGGACUAAUACCGCGUACACUUGGGAUAGGGCAUCCUGACCCAAGGAAAUGAAAUUCGCUGUGAGAUAGGCAUGCGUCCCAUUAGCUAGUUGGUGAGGUAACGGCUCACCAAGGCGACGAUGGGUAGGGGAACUGAGAGGUUGAACCCCCACACUGGUACUGAGACACGGACCAGACUCCGACGGGAGGCAGCAGUGAGGAAUAUUGGUCAAUGGGCGAGAGCCUGAACCAGCCAAGUCGCGUGAAGGAUGACUGUCUUAUGGAUUGUAAACUUCUUUUAUACGGGAAUAACAAGAGUCACGUGUGGCUCCCUGCAUGUACCGUAUGAAUAAGCAUCGGCUAACUCCGUG
rnacentral:rRNA from 1 species